GGUGGAAUGUGUUGAGGGGAGAGGCGAUAUAUGUUCGUCUCUCAUACCAGAGUCAGCAAAUUCUUCAGGACGCACUAAAGCCCUGAGAGGGAACAAAGGGGUGGCGUUCUCAUGGGAUAAAUUUGGGUGGUGUUGUGGUGAUUGAGUGGGUGUAAGGAGGUACUGGCGAUGUGGUGGUGUAACCCUGAUAUCCAGAAUCAGGUUAGUGAGUUUUUUUUUUCUUUUUGUGGUACCAAGAGCUCUUGUCCGCUGAAAUUCAGUGAGUUGUGUCGGUAACGUAACGCUGAGGGGCAGUGUCAGAGCUGAGAGGCAGCCAUUUUGUAGUUGAGGUUGUGGUGGUGUUGUGGCGUUAUUGGUGUCUUUGGGGAUGGUGUUAUGGUACUAUAGGUGAACUAUGGUGAUGGUGGUGAUGUCUUGUGAGGUUUGAAGAGACUCACGUGGGGGUUUGAUUACCUACCUGACCUCCAUUCCUGCUACCCCCUCCUGACCCCCUCCUCCCUGGAUCCCCUCCUCACCCACAUGGGCCGCUGGUGGUGGCGGCGGUGGUGGUGGUGGUGCGUGUGGUGGGUGGGCGUGGUGUGGGUUUUCCAGCUCCCACAUGCCCACGCCUUCACUCUCGAUGCCUACUUCAAGGUCCUGGCCGUCGCUGCGAAGAAGAGGGAGAUUCUUCGCAAGAUAUUUUUUGGAUACGAUUUAGGGUUCAGGGCAUCACCGUGGCUGUUCAGGGACCGUGUGGAGCCUCCCUUUGUCCCAAUCAUCACCACCUUCCCCAAGACAGGCCGCUACAGGAGUGAGGGGCCUCGCUAUCAACACACCGCCCCCUCCCUCCACUACACCCGAUGGAGGCGCAGGAGGAAAACAAGAGUACCCGCCACGCCUCGCUCAUUACUAAUAUUGUAGCUCUGAAUACUCGAGCAGUAGUGAACACAAAGAAAGAACUAGCUAAAUUGUAUCUUUUAAUCCCUACGAGGUUGAUGAAAGCUUGAGAAUCAUAUCUAUAAACAAAGAGAUGAAGGCGCAGAAGGAAGAUAAGGGUUCCUGCUACGCCUCGACCGUUACUAUUACUGUAGCUUUGUGUGCAGUAAUGAACACAAAGGAAGAACAAGUAAUAGUAGAAUAAUUUGCGAGGUUGAUGUUAUUUUUUUUGUCAGAGGGGGCUCUGGACAAACACUACAAAAAAGAUGAGAGAGAGAGAGAGAGAGAGAGAGAGAGAGAGAGAGAGAGAGAGAGAGAGAGAGAGAGAGAGAGAGAGAGAGAGAGAGAGAGAGAGAGACCCACUGAGGUUCCUGUCCUUAAAGAAAAUGGGCCAAAGAGUCUAUCCAAAAUUGGGGAUGUGAUACGAAACCUCCCCGUAGAAAGAAUUCGUGUAAGAGAAAUGGAGAAAUUCCAGAGUUUACCAGUGAAAGAGAUGAAGGGUUAAGGAUGCUGGUCAAUUAACUCUCGCAUUAGGGAGGUGGACAGAAUAGGUGUGAGAGGAAAUAGAAAGUCUUGUGCAGCGAGGCCACGGUAAAGAUGACGAAGACAAAGGAAAAACAAACAACAUGAGAUCUAUUAGUCCUUAAGAGGUUGUUUCUGAUAAGCUAAACAAAAUAUUAUCUAUAAACAAAGGGAUGUGCAAAAGCAAAGACGAAGGGAGGAAUACAUAGAGAGAGGGAAAAGAAACCGUGUCCUGUGUCUUCUGUGCCUCUUGUCUCUAUUCCAGCAGAAGGCACAGAAGAAGGAAGGAUUAUUCUGUCCACGUGCUUACUUCUUGUUGUGGGAAGGAAGGAUAUAAAGAUGAAUAAAGUGAAGAAAGAGCGAGAGAGAGGGAGGAGGAAGGGAAAGGAUGUGGAUGAGAGACGAAUAAUCUUGAAUGCACUGGAAUGAAAAGUGAAAAAUGUAUUUUGUUGAU